AUUAGCUUUGGUGAUGAUCCUUAAUCUUUAAAAAGGACUAAAUCGAACUAACUAGAAUUAUUUUGCUUUUCCUUUAUAAAUAGUGUUGCAUUUAAUAGAGAAACACGGCAACAAUCAAGCAAAACACAUAGAGAAAGCAACAAUGGCAGCCCUUAUUCAACAACCAUCUCUAUCCAUUUCUCCACUUUAGCCAAUAGCUUAGCUCUACAUCACUAAAACACCUCUGCUAUUGCCAUCGUCGAUCAACCAGCUAAAAUUCCAACACCAUAUUUUUCAUCAAUCAGCUUCCAAUCAUCAAAUCCAUCUGCAAUUAAAACCCAUAAUAUCCCAAACCCAGUAGGCAAUCAAAGUGCAAGAAUCACAUUCGUCCCAAGGUUUUCAAUAAUCAACCCAAAGUUUUUUUUUUUUACAACAACAAAGACCACAACAGCAAGCAAAAAAAUUGAAACAAAAUUUAUGGCAGUAGCCUUGAGGUUUCAAUCUCGGGCAUGAAAGGAUUUCUUUAUAUGGGGUUGCGAAUGAAGCUCGAAUAGCUAUAAGAAAUGAGGGCUCACAGUCAAUAGGUGAUGGGGACUGAGGUUGAUAGCGGCCGGUGGUAUUUUUGGAGAUCAGAACCUGCAAAAAGAAUAUGAGAGGCCACCAACAUACUAAAAAUUUAAAGGAAUCGGACAGUGGAAAAGGCUAAGAUGGCGCUUAAAAAAUCACAACUUUGGCUUCAGACUUGGGACAUUAACGGAUAAUUUUUUAGAAUCUAGCCCCAAAUCUGUGACGUGGAGACUGAAAGGGGGUUCCUAGUGAAAUUUAAGAGUUUCCUAAUCAUCAAUAGAUGGCUAACGACGACGGCAUAAUGGCUGACAGUGGUGGAAGGCGUGGAGAUGAACAACAAGAUUUUGGAAAAUAUAAAGAACCGGUGGCUGUGCUUUUGAGUUUUUUUUUUAUUAAAUUAUGGGUUUUAUUUUGGAGAGAAAAUUAGAGGAUUUAAGGAAGAAAAAGAGAGAAGCAAAAAAUGGGGAAUUGAAAGAGAAGAAGUCUGAGUAGGGCUGUAUGCUGCUGUAAAAACAACGUAGUUUUGGACAUAAGCAAACGACACCGUUCAACCCGUAUUUCAGUUCGUUUGGCAGCUUCGCCCAGUUUCUAAACUUGCCUGCUAGACUGUGGUGAAUUUUCUAUUUGGGCUUGGCAAAUUUUAAUCCCGGCUCAGUAUUAACCAAAUCAAGGUUGGAAUUGAUCAAGCCCAGUUUUUUAAAUUGUUCACGAGCCCAAGCUGGCAAUAAGCCCCACAUUGGUCUUAAGUUUCAUUUUGAGUUGAGUCCAGUUUUGUUUAGGUAAUUUCUAUAUUUGGUUUUAUUUGUAUAUUUAUUUAUUUAUUUCAUGCGUACAUAAUAUUGUAAUUGGAUAAAAAUUAGAAGAUUUUAUGAAUUAAAAAUAUUUUUAAUCCUAC
rnacentral:lncRNA from 1 species